UUUGAGUCAGCAAACUCCGCGGCCCGCAAGCCCGGCUCGGCCCGGCCCUGCUCUGUUCUGCCCGGAGGAGCCGCCCAUUGAUCGUGUCCUGUGCUGAAGAUGUUUCCGGAACAACAGAAAGAGUUAACACCUACUCAUCUUUACUGUGCUACAAAGAUUCAAACUAAGCUAUGAUGGAAAAUUUUAAAAAACACACCUAUCACAAUGGCUAAAAUAAAAAAUAGUGAUAAUCCCCCUGGAAACUGUAAUAGGCAUUUAUUUAUUCAUUAAAUGAUACUAAUGGAAGGCAUUGGAUGUAUGAGGCAUUCAAGUCUUACAAGACAGCCUAAGCUGCCCUACAGGAGCUUAGCGUCUGCUAGAGGAGGCCUACAGGAAUUUGUAAGUGUCUGGGUUCGAGAUCCUAGGAUUCAGAAGGAGGACUUCUGGCAU
rnacentral:lncRNA from 10 species